GACGAACGCUGGCGGCGUGCUUAACACAUGCAAGUCGAACGAAGAGGCGAACGGAUGAGUAAUAUGUGAGUAACCUGCCCUCCUGUUUGGGAUAAGCCUUGGAAACGGGGUCUAAUACCGAAGAAAGGGGGUUGGGCUCGCGGACUAUCAGCUUGUUGGUGGGGUGAUGGCCUACCACGGCGGUGACGGGUGGCGGGCGGGGGAGGGUGACCGGCGAGGUUGGGACUGAGCUACGGCCCUGAGUCACACGGGAGGCAGCAGUGGGGGAUAUUGGACAAGGGGCUAAAGCAGGGUGCGGCGACGUCACGUGGGGGAUGAAGGCUUGCGGGUUGUAAACCUGUGUCGCUAUCGAAUGGGUAGGUGGAGAAGAAGCGCCGGCUAACUACGUGCCAGCAGCCGCGGUAAUUC
rnacentral:rRNA from 1 species